AUUGAACGCUGGCGGCAUGCCUUACACAUGCAAGUCGAACGGCAGCACGGGUGCUUGCACCUGGUGGCGAGUGGCGAACGGGUGAGUAAUACAUCGGAACAUGUCCUGUAGUGGGGGAUAGCCCGGCGAAAGCCGGAUUAAUACCGCAUACGAUCUACGGAUGACAGCGGGGGACCUUCGGGCCUCGCGCUAUCGGGUUGGCCGAUGGCUGAUUAGCUAGUUGGUGGGGUAAAGGCCUACCAAGGCGACGAUCAGUAGCUGGUCUGAGAGGACGACCAGCCACACUGGGACUGAGACACGGCCCAGACUCCUACGGGAGGCAGCAGUGGGGAAUUUUGGACAAUGGGCGAAAGCCUGAUCCGGCAAUGCCGCGUGUGUGAAGAAGGCCUUCGGGUUGUAAAGCACUUUUGUCCGGAAAGAAAUCCUUGGCCCUAAUACGGUCGGGGGAUGACGGUACCGGAAGAAUAAGCACCGGCUAACUACGUG
rnacentral:rRNA from 1 species